rnacentral:lncRNA from 1 species
AUUAUGUUUCUAAACAGUUUCAAGAGUUGUGUGCAUUUGCCUCCUAUAACGGUUGCACAUAUGCAUUACUGUUGUAGAUGUCCUAUGUAUGUCCUAAAUGGAAGGCUAAAUAUUUUGGAAGGUUUAAGAUAUAAAAGGUCCUCAGGGGAGCCUGACAGGAGAGGGUCUUGGCAUAUUCAAAGAACAAGAAGAUUUGAAUCUGUAAAACCUAGAGAAGUCAUCACAGGAAAGGACAACAAUAACAGAGUAAAUGCCACUUAUGGCUGGCGCUAUUUUGAACUUCUAUUGUUUUCAUUAUCCUGAGUUGAACCUGGGGCCUUGCAUUUGUGAGGCCAGCACUAUAUUGCUUGAGCCACACUCCCAGCCCCCUUUUAAAGUCUGACACUAAGCUUGUGAUCCCCCUGCCUCAGCCUCAGAAGUAGUUCGGAUUACAGUUGUGCAUCCUCAUCAUGCCUGGCAGGCGCUCACUUUUAUCCAAUAGUUCUGUGGAUGUGAUCAAUGAAUCGGAGAGCACGGAGAAGUCAUCCAGCUGGGUCCCUGGGCAUGGCCAUCUUCAAUGGAUAGUGAGAGGUCCCCUGAGGCUUGGCUGAACUCAGAGCUGGUGAAAAGAUUCGCCCCCAUGCCAUCUCCUAUUAGAAAACAAACAGGCAUCUAAGGUUUACUGGAUAGAUUUCUGUCAACUUGACACGAUAAAGUCAUCCAAGUGGAUUAUCCUCAACCAAGAAAAGGCCUCCGAAAGAUCAAGCUGCAGGCAAGCAUGAGUGCAGUUGCAUCUAAGGCCAGCAGAGGGCGGUAGAUGACCGGAUCCUGAAAUUCCAGAUGCUCAUUGCCAGGACGGGAUGAACAAAUGAAAAUUCAAUCCGACCCUAAUGGUUCUCAGACAUCACAGUGAAAGGCAUGCCAGUGUGUGGGGGAGAAAAGAGAGUUAGUUAGACCUUUUCAGAACAGCUGCGAUAAAACCUCUAGUUCCGAUGAUGUCAUGUCUGCGGGGCUCAGAAUCUAUCACCCAGUUUGGUGUCUCACUGAAGCAUGACCAAUGGAAAAAUAAUCCAUCAGUUAAGAAGAAAUAGAAGAAAACAUCUGUAGAAGGCUGUCCAGGUGGUACUGGGCAGGCCUGAGGCAGACCUCAGGCGUGAACCAAGUGUCUUCUGCUGUUCCAUGGCUUCUUUCUGGCCACUUGGUUUGCAACUAGACUCUGCCAUUACUCGGACCUGCCAAGACACAGCCAACGAAACUUUCUACAGAGGUUUUCAUGGAGAAUCGAUUUGACAAAUGCCAUCCUAUGCAUCCAGAGAUUGUUAGGAACGACCCUGUACCCAGAAAAGAGAAAUCAUGGAAAAUAGCGCUGCAGAGACUUAGACUCAGGAAGGGUGGGGCCAUCUCAGCUCCAGCCUUGAUGGGCAUUUGAAACCUCUGGUUUCCUUUUGACUCAUGUGGGGAUUAUGUAAUCUAGAUCUAACAUGAUUAGGAAUCUGAAAUGUGCGGCAUGGUGUUAGGCACAUGGUAAGUUCUGAAUUUCAAUGCAUCUUUCUAGACACCCCUCACCUCUAGCUGUGGGAUGGUAGGUUGUGUAGGUGUCGGGAAAAACUGAGAGCUGGGUCGACACUCCUUCUGGAGUAAGCUCAGCUCUCUGUUUAGUUCUGAUCACUCUUAAGACAUAGCAAGACUUAAUUAGCCUUUUGGAAGACUUGGGUGGAGGGCAAUGGGGACCCUUAGUGGGUUUACAAAAGAGAGAAAGGAAACAUGAGUGAUGAUGCUGGACGUGAUAAAGGUGACAUAAAAAGAAGAGGUAACAGACAGGGAGGAUAUGGGGAUGAAGCGAGACACACAGGACAAAGGAGAAAGAACUAAGAUGAUGAAAGAGAAACAGAGAGAGAGAGAGAGAGAGAGAGAGAGAGAGAGAGAGAGAGAGAGAGAGAGAGAGAGAGAUUUUCUUCAGAAAUGGAGACUCUAUUUCUGUGACAGAGCAGAAUGCACAUCGAGAUCCAUGGCCUCUUUAGCAGUGUCUGUCUUCCAACCUGAUCUGGAUUAGUGGCUGUUAAUUAAAGACAUUUCCACUACAGUGACAAAGCACCCAAGAAAAACAGCCUCAGGAAGAAAGAUGGUUCUUGGCUCAUGGUAUCAAACAUUUUGGUCAAAGGUUACUUUAAGGUCUAUGGAAAGGCAGAAAUGUUAUGGCAGAAGGGCAUCUCAGUAUAGGGAAAAUGUUUACCUCACGACAGACAAGGGAGGGCAGGGA